rnacentral:rRNA from 1 species
UACGGGGGGAGCAAGCGUUGUUCGGAUUUACUGGGCGUAAAGAGCGCGCAGGCGGUCGUUCAAGUCGAGUGUGAAAGCCCCCGGCUCAACUGGGGAGGGUCAUUCGAUACUGAUCGACUCGAAGGCAGGAGAGGGAAGUGGAAUUCCCGGUGUAGUGGUGAAAUGCGUAGAUAUCGGGAGGAACACCAGUGGCGAAGGCGACUUCCUGGCCUGUUCUUGACGCUGAGGCGCGAAAGCUAGGGGAGCAAACGGG